CUCCUUAGAGCUGUGGUUGAAAGUCGAAGCCCAGUCGCAGGCGAAACGACCCACGUAAGGUAACUUUGGUUACUGAGCAUGGUGCGGCUUUGGAGUAAGUCCUGCCUUAACCCUAAUAGGUUAUAACAAUAAGAGAAGAGUAGUAGUGAAGGACAAAGUUCCCGAGCAAACCUCUCAGCAGGCGAGUGUGGGGGCAAAGACCAGGUCAGUCUAAGGAA
rnacentral:ncRNA from 12 species